rnacentral:pre_miRNA from 1 species
AAGAUACUCCCUUCGUUCGGAAUUACUUGUCUCGGAAAUGGAUAUAUCUAGAAUUAAAAUACGUCUAGAUACAUUCAUUUUUGCAACAAGUAAUUUUGAACGGAGGGAGUAUAUA